GCUCUCGCUCUCGCUCGCUCUCGCACACACACACACACACACACACGCGCGCACACGCGUGCACACGCAUGCACGCGCGCACACACACGCACACACAGGCACACACAAACACACCCGCCCGCUCGGCUCCGCUCCCGAGCUGCCUCAGCAAGGAGGAGCCCGGACGGAAAACACCCGGGCAGCAAGGAGACUGAGAAGAGAGGGGACCCUGGAUGUCAGUCCAUUCUCCGUUUUUUGUUUGUCUUGACUUUGAGGCAGAUUUCCUCUUUCAGCUCUGGAAACUGACAGUGUCCACCCCUAGAUGUUUGCUUGCCCAACCUUCUACAGGAACUACAGAAAGUCCUGCUCAUCCUGCUCAUCCCUGAUGGCUGGGAUUGUACAGUCAAAACGCUCUACAGAAUAAAUGUUCACUUAUAUUUUUAUGUAUUUAUUCUGACAGCUACAUUCUGAGCUUUUUUAGAGUCCUGGUUUGAGGGAAGUGGGUGCAAUCUCACUCAAAUAAUCAUUCUCCAAUACCAUUAGCAUUACCUGCCAAAAAUGAGAGUGGCAUAUGAAUCACAGUAAGCCACUCAUGAAUUUGUGGAUUUAGAGCCUGCCAAGGAACACCAGAAAUCCACAUGAUUUCAAAGUCCCACGACUUUUAGGGACUUUGAAUAAUAUGUAAAAGCACAUUUAUCCAAAGACCAUCAUACUGAUGACCCAUCCUGUAAGGACCACAGACAUAACCAAUUCAAGUGAAGGAUGAUAUUAACUGAAACUUUUUCUGUUCCAGUGUUUCUCUUUCAAGUGAGGUAGUGAAAGUGGUCAAUCUGCUAAUUGAAACUAUGUCAGAGGCCCUUUCUGGGAUGCCCCUUAUUGAAGUGCUACUGUGACAUACUGAUGUGGCAAUACGCGUUUGUGUGAGAAGAGCUAUUGGAUCCUCUGGGAAAUAUCACAGAUGCUUUCCAGUUCCUUUCAGACAUGUAAAUAUCUUUAUGUUUAGACAUGAGUAGAGAAGGGUGGGAAGUGAAGUAGAGCAAGGAGUAGAGUGGGGUUAAAAGCAUCCACACAGAUCCAGGAACCAAAUAAAUAUAUGUGGGUUGGGGUUUUUUUUUUUGUAUCUGACGUUAGCUGGGGCUUGAAUUGAAAUGUUCAUUACUGAGAAGACACAUUAAAUCAACGUGUGCAUACUUGAGAGUUAUGUUGACCCAAUGUUGAUAGAGAAGGCCAUCUUCUGCCUCAAGUUAUAGAUGAUCAACAGAACUCUCAGUAAUGCUCAGAUACUUAUGUUGUUCCCAAGUAAUAUGUACCUUAUCAAGUAUGGUUUAUUUUCAGCUUGUAGUACAUGGCUAAUGCUAUAGCAGUGAAAAACACGAAAUGCCAUCUAGCACUUCUUAUGAUUGCUUGGUUUUUACAUGGUUUGUUUUUAGCUAAGCACAUCAGAAAUUGGAAAUAAUGUUUGAGUCUUUUUUCCCUCUUAACUUACAAACCCAGAAGCCUAGGUUUUGUAAUCUAUUUAUUGUUAGUACUUGUGAAGCACAGUGAUAAAACCUGCUUAGUAGCAUGGUCUACAUGUAGCUGUCUUAGCAGCUUGAUGAUUUGGUCUGAGUAACUAUGUUCCAACCUGUAUUAGCAUUAUCUGUCAUAGAUGAAAAGGGCAGUGAACAAACCAUUCUGGAGUGGCCUCCUGUGCAUAUGUUAAAUGCAAGUGGCCAUCAUUAGCUGUACCAUAACUUUAUCUGAUGUUUCAUCUUGCUGGUGCCUCAGUGGAAGACACUCAGAUGACUUUUUCUGAAUGUGGCAGCUGCUUUCAGUGUAUUUCUGUAGUCUUGGUUAUUCUAUUCUUUGUUGGUUAAACACCAAUCAUCUCCUGAACUUAGGCCUAUGCCAUCUCACUAUCUGAAUGUCUGUCCAGAAAGUUUGUCCACUGAAAUGUGUAUCAUGUCAAUAAUAACAAAUUCAUCUGUCCAGCUUACCUUUCCUCCAGUCAUUCAUUGAAGGUUCAUGUUUCCAGGCCCUGGUGCUACACGGUACCUCAGUCCAUUCAGCUUCUCUCCAAAAUGGUAACUACUUUCUGCUUCACAUCUCUGUUACAGGAGGUCUUUUGAUCACCUAAAAAAGUAAACUGCAUCCUGUACAUGUCCUCUUAAAAAUUCUGCUUUAUGGAAGAGAAGAUCAAUUCGUUGCAGGUGUGUCAGUGAUAUCAGACUCACUUCUGUUUUGCCUGACUGCCCUCUCUAUCUUCUGUCAGUCUAAAAUUACCAUUUUUGAAAGGAUUGAAGGAGUUGUAUUAAUAUUUGUGAACCACUUUUCGUGCACAUUGUCUCUGCUUUUCUCCUUCCCUUUGGUGUCUGGUUUGUCUUGGCUGCUUUUACAAAUUCUGUUGCCUGUAGUGAGGGACUGCCAGAUUAAACCAGUGAAGAGAAACCAGGUGACUGUCUACUUCUACAAAUACAGGUUGUGUAUAAUAAAUUCAGGUUUUACAUCUAUGCAAAUUACAUCAUCAUAUGAUUAUGACUACAUGCAUUUUUUAUCAAAUAUGGCAUAUAUUUCUCAAAUUAUAUUUAACUUGUCGUUACAUUGCUAUUCUGAAUACCUAACUAGGAGUUACAAGGUGUGCCACCAGAUCUUAGUAAAUAGGCUUAUGAAAACAGAAUAAAUAAGGGAAAAAUCACCUUUUUUUGUUGUAUUCCUGGUAAGUCCAGUGAAAAGCUUUUCCUGCUAUAGGUGAUAAUAUAUAUAAACACUUCACCACAGAGCUAUUUAGAGACACAAGUAUACCUUGGUAUUAGAAAUUUUGUAAAGGUAGAGAUUUUGUAAAGGCCUAAACAAAACAUGCCCAGAAUAAGGAAGUUUUAAAGCAACGUGUCUUUGGUCUGGAGUUUACUGCAUCUAGUUAGUUAGAAACUAGUUAGAAAAUAGGAUUUAGCACAAUUCUUCCUUUGAGGUUUAUCAACAGACAGUGCAGUUUUAGUGUAAAGCCCUAAGCCUUGCAAUGAUCCCAACCUUAGGUGCACCAUACUUUGAAUAAUCUGUCAGCUGAGCUAUGGCAAGGAUUAUGCUGUGAAGGUAACAACUCAAUGCUUUCAAUGUUAACUGUCCUCAACAACUGUUGCUGGUUUUCUCAUAAAUAAAAAGAUAUUUU
rnacentral:lncRNA from 1 species